rnacentral:rRNA from 1 species
CGCGUAGGCGGGCCAUCAAGUCCGGGGUGAAAUCCUCCGGCUUAACCGGAGAAUUGCCUUGGAUACUGGUGGUCUUGAGGGAAGUAGGGGUCUGCGGAACUUCCGGUGGAGCGGUGAAAUGUGUUGAUAUCGGAAGGAACGCCGGUGGCGAAAGCGGCGGACUGGGCUUCUUCUGACGCUGAGGCGCGAAAGCUAGGGGAGCAAACG